CAACAAAAAUAUCUUAAUUUGUGUUCCAAAGAUUAACGAAGGUCUUACGGGUGUGGAAUGACAUGAGGGUGAGUAAUAAAUGACAGAAUUUUAUAUCAAGCAUAUGAGAGUUCCCUCAGUAACAUUAAAAAAAAUCAUACCGACCCCAAACUUUUGAAUGGUAGUAAAUAUUCAGUUACUGAAGGGAAAGUGUCACUCCAAAUAUUCAGAUUAAUAGUUUUUUUUCAUUCACCAAGUUUUAGCCUUUUAACCUUUGGUUCCCUCCAAAAUUUGGUCAUCAUCUUCUUCAUAAGCAUUUCAUAAGCAAAUCCAUCUUAUUUUUUGUGUGUUCCAGGUAAUGGAGAGAAGCCAUUAAAGUCAACAUGACAUGACAUUCGCAACCCAUUUUACUUUCAUAAUCUAACAUAUUUCCAGUUCAAACAGGAUAUGAGAGCAAAAAUGUACCAUUGAAUUUAUCCAUUGGAAAUCGAUUAGAUUUUGAUAAACGGGUGUUGCAUAACAAAAUGGAGGCGGUUGGAGGGGUCAGUGAAAAGUAAGAGGGAUUUAUGAUGUCAAGGAAAGUCAUUUUAGAGGGGAAGCAAGUAAUUACAUUUUGAUGAAAGAUUACAAAGACAUUUUUUGUUUCUUGGAAUAAAAUUCACCAUUGAGUUGUGCACAAGAAGACCAAGAAAAUAGGGGCAAUUUUGAUUUCAUGUUGACUUGAAGGAAAGGAAUAGCAGUCCGAGCCAUCAGAUUUCAACAAAAAUAUCUUAAUUUGUGUUCCGAAGAUUAACGAAGGUCUUACGGGUGUGGAACGCCAUGAGGGUGAGUAAUAAAUGACAGAAUUUUCAUUUUUGUGAACUAACCCUUUAAAGAGAAUGAUAAGGAGGUUUUGUCAUCCAUCAUCUUAAAUGAUCACUUUCAUUAUAUGCUCCUAUAGAAUGCAUUAGUGCCUGCCCCCUUUUUUAGCGCCGUUGGUUCUGUGAAACACAAUAGGAAAUGCAAGUGGAAUGUCCGAGCAGCUGUUUUCUAUACAGACAAUGAGCUUGGGGGAUUGUGAGAGGAACAGAAACGCUGUUUGCAAGGUCUGAGGGGGCAGGAGACAAACUGUGCCGUGAUGAAGGUUUGACAGGUGGAGGUCCUCUUAUUUCCCUUCAGAGUGAAAAGACUGUAUAUAUAUAUGUGCGUGUAUAUGUGUUUCUAUGUAUGAAGGGCACAUCGGGAGAGAAAGAAAGAGGCUCAGGGAAAUAUAAAAGAGAUAAAGAGGAAGGUUGUGACUUAUUGGACAGCCUGGUUCAAAAUAAAUGUGGAGGUCAUGCUGGAGAACAACGGCGAUGAUAAUUUUAGAGCCUUUGAACACAAAGACCACAUUCAUCUAGUGAACUAACUUGCUGUGGACACUGAAUGACUUGCCUGAGUUAGCAAACAGCGUUGCAUUACCGUGCACGUCCCCUUCUGGAUUGGAGUGUGG